rnacentral:rRNA from 1 species
CCCUUAGACGUUCUGGGCCGCACGCGCGCUACACUGAUGCAUUCAACGAGCCUAUCCUUGACCGACAGGUCCGGGUAAUCUUUGAAUCUGCAUCGUGACGGGGAUAGAUUAUUGCAAUUAUUAAUCUUCAACGAGGAAUGCCUAGUAGGCGCAGGUCAUCAGCCUGCAUUGAUUACGUCCCUGCCCUUUGUACACACCGCCCGUCGCACCAACCGAUUGGAUGUUUUGUUGAAAUAUGUGGAUGUUUUUUGAGUGGAUUAAUUUUCGCUCGAUAGACAGAAACGUAUUAAAACUGAAUAUAUAGAGGAUGGUGAAGUCGUAACA